rnacentral:tRNA from 1 species
AAUAAAAUGGCUGAAUAUUAGGCGAUAAAUUGUAAAUUUAUUUAUAGAAUUUGAAAAUUCUUUUUAUUA